ACACGUAGGGGGCGAGCGUUGUUCGGAAUCAUUGGGCGUAAAGGGCGUGCAGGCGGUCCUGCAAGUCCGGCGUGAAAGCCCCCGGCCCAACCGGGGGGACGCGCUGGAAACUGCGGGGCUUGAGUACAGGAGGGGAUACCGGAAUUCCAGGUGUAGGGGUGAAAUCUGUAGAUAUCUGGAAGAACACCAAUGGCGAAGGCAGGCAGAGGGCCAUGUACGGAGGCGGAGAAGGGAAGGUGCGGGGAGAAAACAGGUUUAGGUCCCCUGGUAGCCGGCACAGUGAGCGAUGUGCAACAGGUGGCGGGGGGUCGACCCUCGGUACCGUAGCUAACGCAUUAAGUGCACCGCCUGGGGAGUAUGCUAGCAAGGGUGAAACUCAAAGGAAUUGACGGGG
rnacentral:rRNA from 1 species